rnacentral:lncRNA from 1 species
GCGAAGCCUGCCUACCACAGGACUAUAGUAAGACACGAGAAUCUUUUGUGCAGCCCGGCCUUCUGUAUCUUCUCCCUCUCCAUCUGCAGUGCUGGACAACAAGAGCUGCUAGUAGAGAGAUCUGGAGAUGUUCCCCAGGCUUGACUGCCUCAGGCAUCCAGGGUCCGGCAGAGCAGGUGGUCUCAAUGUGGUUUGAUGGACGAGCAAAGGCAUUCCAGAUUCAGAAGAGCCUCCUGUUCUGCUCACAGCAGCCUCAAAGUCGAUCGAAAGUUUCUGGCAAAAUACAAAUUAUUUCCUGGAAGGGGACACUGACGAAUCUAAUGUGAAGGUCCAGUGUUCAGUGUGCCUCUUGCCCUGCAUGUUUUGGGGCCUCCCUUAGCUCUGAAGCCAGAGAAUCACAGCUCAAACUCACCUAGCAACUGGGUAGCUUUGAGCAAGUUUCUUAACUUCUGUGCUUCAAGGAAAUCACAAAAAGUACUCAAUACUUCUCUCCACAUAAAUCUUUUUUAGAUUGAUUCCUGGGCUCUUGAGCUUUUUGUUACUACAAAUAAAAUCUUUAAAGCAGUAUUUUCUAACUGUUGG